CCAGAUGAUUAUACCUUUUUAACCCUUAUUCUUCUAUGAAGAUAAAAAGCAACAACAACACUCUAAUUUUUUCAUGAUU
rnacentral:snoRNA from 1 species